UACUAUCCGGGGCGGCAGCGGUGCCCUGUACCUGAAAUCCGCUAUAGCAGGGGAGAAUUCCUGAUCUGAGGACUGUUUUUGUGCGGUCAGCACCUUUAAUCGCUGUGUUGACGGAUGAGUCUUGCGCAAUUGUCGGCUGUGAACCGUGUCAGAUGGGGGACCAGGCAGCACUAAGCAGUUUUGACGAUGUGCCGCGAGGGUGCUUGUUCUGAGCAGAGGUCAUAGGCUUG
rnacentral:SRP_RNA from 1 species